rnacentral:rRNA from 1 species
CCUACGGGAGGCAGCAGUAAGGAAUAUUGGUCAAUGGAGGCAACUCUGAACCAGCCAUGCCGCGUGCAGGAUGAAGGCCCUAUGGGUCGUAAACUGCUUUUACACAAGAGAAAACCCCGGUACGUGUACCGGGUUGAUAGUAUUGUGAGAAUAAGCAUCGGCUAACUUCGUGCCAGCAGCCGCGGUAAGACGAAGGAUGCAAGCGUUAUCCGGAUUCAUUGGGUUUAAAGGGUGCGUAGGCGGACUUGUAAGUCAGUGGUGAAAUCUCUUUGCUUAACAAGAAACUGCCAUUGAUACUGCAGGUCUAGAGUAUAGAUGACGUUGGCGGAAUAUGACAUGUAGUGGUGAAAUACUUAGAUAUGUCAUAGAACACCGAUUGCGAAGGCAGCUAACGAAACUAUAACUGACGCUGAGGCACGAAAGUGCGGGGAUCAAACAGGAUUAGAUACCCUGGUAGUCCGCACCGUAAACGAUGAUUACUCGUUGUUGGCAAUAUGACCGUCAGCGACCAAGCGAAAGCGANAAGUAAUCCACCUGGGGAGUACGCCGGCAACCGGUGAAACGUCAAAGAGUAGUAGGCGUGAGAGAGCGACGGACGGACGACGAGGGAGGGAGGAG